rnacentral:rRNA from 1 species
GACGUAGGGCGCGAGCGUUGUCCGGAUUUAUUGGGCGUAAAGAGCUCGUAGGCGACUUGUCGCGUCGACUGUGAAAAACCCGCAGCUCAACUGUGGGCUUGCAGCCGAUACGGGGCAGGCUAGAGUUCGGUAGGGGAGACGUGGAAUUCCUGGUGUGAGCGGUGAAAUGCGCAGAUAGUCAGGAGGAACACCGGUGGCGAAGGCGGGUCUCUGGGCCGAUACUGACGCUGAGGAGCGAAAGCGUGGGGGAGCGAACAGG